UUGCUUCAGCAGCACAUAUACUACUAAAAUUGGAAUGAUACAAAAAAGAUAGCAUGACCCCUGAGCAAGAGUGAACAAAUUCAUGAAGCAUUCCAUAUUUUU
ensembl:snRNA U6 U6 spliceosomal RNA